rnacentral:lncRNA from 1 species
AGGGACGACCCCCCCACCCCGCUUUUCCCUCAGUCGGCUCUCUCUCCCAAUGACGUCGGCCAGGCUUCACAGUGCUCUUUCCUUGUUAUUGACAACUCCGCCCCGGCUCUCGCCCCGCCCCCCCGGCCUCUAUUUAAGAUUCAUCAUCAAUAGUUAGUGCCUCCUUCUGGUCUGUCUACACUGUACCAUCCCCCUCCCCACAGUCCCCCACUCCCUCCCUUCCUCUUCACCACCCGGCCAUCCUAACCCCCAAGUGCGCGUGCCCGUCCUCCCCAGCCCUACUCUCUCUCCUCCCUCCCUUCCCCACCACCAAGUCGGAGCCAUCCCACGCGCGCGCGCUCGAUCCUGGCUGUCUGGAGUCAGUUGCUCCAGCGCCCGCGCGCGCUGGUCUGUCCCUGCCCCUGCCCCUGCUGCCGCUGCUGCCGACGCAGGGGCCGCCGGGGCCUCGUCCUACCGCCACCAGCGGAGCGCGAGCGUCGGGAGCCAGGCGCGCGGCCCCCUGCCCAGGCUCAGCCAGGACAAUCUGGAAGAAUGAAAGGAUGGCAGGGAGACCAGCACUUUCUGUAUUUGUAAUUACAGCAGUUAACCUCAAAUGGCCAGAAUACACCCAGUAUGUGUGAACAGUUCUGCAGAGUCUUCAGGAAUGUUGACUGUUUGCCAGACCAGAAAAAUGUACUUUUGACUGUAAGACUGUUAAAUUCCUGGACCAUCUAUCUUCCCUGAAGGACUUCAAAUGAAUCUUUACAAGCUAACUAUAGUGAUAGACUAAGAAUGACCUACCAAGGUAUGUAGGGUAUUAGUAUAACAAUUCACAAAUUUUUCUAAUGACUUGGAAUUUUAUUAACAACUUUUCCUAAAUUGUGGCACAUAUCAUGACUUUUUAAAUGAAAGGCCUUGUUUUCAAUGGACUUUAGUUAUAUGAGCAGCUUUUACAUAACCCGGGGCAGUCUAAAAUUUCAUUCCUAAUUUAUUCAGUCCCUCAUCUUAAUACAACUCCUUUUAUAUUCUUAUGUUACCAUGUCCCAUAUUUUAAGGGCCUGCUUGCCAAUUGAGAUAAUUGCUUGCAUAUGAUUUAACACAACCUAAAUCAGCUAUUAAAAAAAAACAACAUGCAAAGUUGGAAGGAAAAAAAGACAGGUUGCCAUUUCUAAGUGGUUGUCUGGCUCUUCUCUUAAUGCCAAUUGCUACUCUGUAAAAUUUAACCAAUGAUACCACAGAUCUUUUUUCAUUAUCCAAUAAAUUUUCCUGUUACCUUCA